rnacentral:rRNA from 1 species
GUGGGGAAUAUUGGACAAUGGGCGCAAGCCUGAUCCAGCAAUGCCGCGUGGGUGAAGAAGGCCUUCGGGUUGUAAAGCCCUUUUGUUGGGAAAGAAAUCCUGUCGGUUAAUACCUGGCGGGGAUGACGGUACCCAAAGAAUAAGCACCGGCUAACUUCGUGCCAGCAGCCGCGGUAAUACGAAGGGUGCAAGCGUUACUCGGAAUUACUGGGCGUAAAGCGUGCGUAGGUGGUGGUUUAAGUCCGUUGUGAAAGUCCUGGGCUCAACCUGGGAAUUGCAGUGGAUACUGGAUCACUAGAGUGUGGUAGAGGGAUGCGGAAUUUCUGGUGUAGCAGUGAAAUGCGUAGAGAUCAGAAGGAACAUCCGUGGCGAAGGCGGCAUCCUGGGCCAACACUGACACUGAGGCACGAAAGCGUGGGGAGCAAACAGGAUUAGAAACCCGUGUAGUCC